rnacentral:rRNA from 1 species
UACGGGGGGAGCAAGCGUUGUUCGGAUUUACUGGGCGUAAAGGGCGCGUAGGCGGCGUGACAAGUCACUUGUGAAAUCUCCGGGCUUAACUCGGAGCGGUCAAGUGAUACUGUCGUGCUAGAGUACAGAAGGGGCAACUGGAAUUCUCGGUGUAGCGGUGAAAUGCGUAGAUAUCGAGAGGAACACCUGCGGCGAAGGCGGGUUGCUGGGCUGAUACUGACGCUGAGGAGCGAAAGCGUGGGGAGCGAACAGG